ACCCCUCUAAAAGGACGUGGUUUGGCUCUGCUGGUCACAAUUUAGCUGAAGAAACGGCACUGAUCAUCAGAAACGUCCAGUGGAAUCAUGAAGUCCCAUCAGAUCUCUGCCUUCUGCCUCCUGAUGACAGUGCUGCUGUCCUCCACUCUGGCUCAACAUGGCAAUGGACCAGAGGAGUGCUGUUUUACAUACUUACCUGGAAAACUGAAGAAGGACAUUAUAACUGGAUAUGCAGAGACCAGAGGGGACUGCAGUAAACCUGGAAUUAUAUUUUACACCACGAGCGGCAGUGAAGUGUGUGUCAAUCCCAGAGAAGAUUGGGUUCAGAAGAUACAGAAGGAGUUGGAUCGCCCCCCCUAUCAGUAAUGCUUUUUGCCUGCCUGGCAAAACAUGAAGAAUGAAUUUUAUUACAUUUCAGCUUUACUGCAGUUCUCCUGUAACAUUAUAUACUGUCAUCUCCCAAAUCAUAUAUAGUUCAGUGCAUUGCAUACUGUAUUAUCUUUCAGUUUUUCAUUAAAAAAAGUUAUAUUUGAACUGCACUUAAAUUGCUUUAUAUGCAUGUAACCGAUUAAAGACUAUUGAAUGGUUAA